UUUCGCCUACGGGGCGCAGCAGUGGGGGAUAUUGGACAAUGGGGGGAACCCUGAUCCAGCGACGCCGCGUGAGUGAAGAAGUAUUUCGGUAUGUAAAGCUCUAUCAGCAGGGAAGAAGAAAGACGGUACCUGACUAAGAAGCCCCGGCUAACUACGUGCCAGCAGCCGCGGUAAUACAUAGGGGGCAAGCGUUAUCCGGAUUUACUGGGUGUAAAGGGAGCGUAGACGGCUGUGCAAGUCUGAAGUGAAAGCCCGUGGCUCAACCGCGGAACUGCUUUGGAAACUGUAUAGCUUGAGUACUGGAG
rnacentral:rRNA from 1 species